UUACGGCCACAUCACGUCGAAACAUUGGUUUCCAUACAAACACCGAAGUUAAGCAACGUCGAAUUUGGUGAGUACCUAGAUGGGUGACUGCUUGGGAAUACCAGGUGCUGUAA